UUCGCGCUGUAGCGCGGAUCUGAACCUAGCAUACGUGACAAAGUACACAUCCACGAUAGUACAUAUUCUCAUACUUGCCAAAUUCAACACCAACAAUCCAUUUUAACAGUUAAAAGUUUACGUAAUUCGGAAAAAAAACAAAAACCGACACUUUUCCCCCGCGCUGUAGCGCGGGUCCGGGCCUAGUUUACAAAUAAAGAAACAGAAUCAGAGAGAUUUAAUUAUGAUUUUUUUGUUCUUACACACACCGUUUAGC
rnacentral:lncRNA from 1 species